rnacentral:rRNA from 1 species
GGUUACUGCUAUCGGUGUUCGCUAAGCCAUGCGAGUCAUAUGUUCGUAAGAACAUGGCGUACUGCUCAGUAACACGUGGAUAACCUGCCCUUGGGUCCGGCAUAACCCCGGGAAACUGGGGAUAAUUCCGGAUAACGCACAUAUGCUGGAAUGCUUUUUGCGUAAAAUGGAUUCGUCUGCCCAAGGAUGGGUCUGCGGCCUAUCAGGUAGUAGUGGGUGUAAUGUACCUACUAGCCUACGACGGGUACGGGUUGUGAGAGCAAGAGCCCGGAGAUGGAUUCUGAGACAUGAAUCCAGGCCCUACGGGGCGCAGCAGGCGCGAAAACUUUACAAUGCGGGAAACCGUGAUAAGGGGACACCGAGUGCCAGCAUCCUAUGCUGGCUGUCCGGGUGUGUAAAAUACACCUGUUAGCAAGGGCCGGGCAAGACCGGUGCCAGCCGCCGCGGUAACACCGGCGGCCCGAGUGGUGAUCGUGAUUAUUGGGUCUAAAGGGUCCGUAGCCGGUUUGGUCAGUCCUCCGGGAAAUCUGACAGCUCAACUGUUAGGCUAUCGGAGGAUACUGCCAGACUUGGAACCGGGAGAGGUAAGAGGUACUACAGGGGUAGGAGUGAAAUCUUGUAAUCCCUGUGGGACCACCUGUGGCGAAGGCGUCUUACC